GGGUGGGGGAGGACCGGGAAGGAGAGGGCGCCCUGCUCUGCCCUUGGGCUGCGCCUCUGUGAGCCAGAGCACGGGAGAGGCAGGAAUUCCCUCUCCUGCCACCACCAUAAAAUGCGGGAAUGUUUCUGGAUGGCUGCGAGGAGUCCUGCCUGGCCCUCAGGAGUCACCCUUUGUACGGCCCCCCGGCUCAUCACGCUCCCCGCCGGCGCGGGCAGCCCCGACGCACGGGAAUGCCCCUGCGGGGCCGCGCAGCUCCUUAAGUAGCAGCGUGCGGCAGCGGCCCCGGCCCGCGUUCUGCUGUCUUCCCGGGACUCCUGCGGCGGGCGUGACGCCAGCCAUGCCGAAGGCAGCCCCGCUCCUCCUAGCCUUGCUGGCCCCGCUGCUGGCCUUCCCCACCAGAGCACCAGAUUUCACCAGAUCUUAUACAGAGAAAGCAGCAGCAAAGAUAGUUGAUGUCAGCUCUUCUGUGAAAGAAACGACUACAGAAAAGAGGGCUUUCCUGGGUAUCACUGCCUUUAUCAAUGAAGACUUCACCAUAAAGACAACACGUGGAAUGAGCAUCAGUGGAAGCAGAGGCAGGAGUGAAUACAGUGAGCCCAGCAUCAUCUCCACAGAGCAAUAUAUGUUCAACAGAACACCAGUUGAGCACAACAUCAAUAUGAAUGAAAAAUCUGUGACUGGAGGCCCACGUGAGUUCUGUGGGUUUUCUUGGUUUUUUGUUUUUUUUUUUUUCCCCUGUUCUUUUUCUUCCUUCCUCCACAGCAAAAGUCAUGCUCUUCCUUUUAUACAGAAGUUGAGCUUACAUAAACUAUGUACUCUUCAGGAUCUUGACCAAUUCUCUGUUGAUUCUGGGAGAACCCAGACCUUCAUGAUCUGGACACAGUGCUCUGUGGUCUGA
rnacentral:lncRNA from 1 species